GGCUUACGACGUCAAAUGCAACUAAGUAGACAGACAGAGAGCCAGCCAAUGCGCGCGAGCGAGCGGCAGCAAUAGCCUCCCAUUUCCUGUGUUGGAUCAUAGGGAGUCUAUUCUUAUAACCACCAACCGCUUGAAUAAUCGCAGAGGUUGUCGUUAUUAUAUAAAAUCCUAAUUUGUGUGUAUUUAAUGUGGUAAACAGGAUUUGUACACAAAUAACACCCACACAAAACUACUGGGGAAAGCAUCACAUGCUCAUGUUUAUAGAUGAAGAAGGACGUCGCUCGAUUUGUUACGUGCGCUCUUUUGGGGGUAACUUGUCAAGGCACGGAUUCAGAGGGGUCCUACAUUAGACAAAUGAAUUGAACUGGAGAAUAGACACAAACCGAAAAGAAACCCUAUUUGAUAGGGAACAGAGGAGAAAGGGGGGAUUCAGCUAGCAACGAACCUUAAGAAGAAGGAGGAUCAUAGAGAAAUAGACCGAGUUGAAGCRUUUGCCCGUCAUCUCUAACUCGCCCAAAGAGCUAUAGGCUCUUCCUGCUCCCUGCUCUCACCACCUUUUCAGUGUCCAUCCUCGGUGCGCAACGGGUAGCCCCAAUCCCACACCGUCUCAAUGAAGGAGGCCGAUGCAAUCAAGCUCUUCAUCGGGCAGAUACCCCGAAAUCUUGAGGAGAAGGACUUGAAACCCAUCUUUGAACAGUUCGGGAAGAUCUAUGAGUUGACGGUGAUAAAGGACAAAUACACAGGGAUGCACAAAGGCUGUGCCUUCCUGACAUACUGCGAACGAGAGUCUGCACUCAAAGCCCAGAAUGCACUGCACGAGCAGAAGACGCUACCAGGGAUGAACCGGCCCAUUCAAGUGAAGCCAGCAGACAGCGAGGGCAGAGGGGAAGACKGGAAGCUGUUUGCUGGCAUGCUGGGGAAGCAGCAGUCGGAUGCUGACGUGAGGAAGAUGUUUGAGGCGUUUGGGAGCAUUGAAGAGUGCACAGUGCUCCGCGGGCCUGACGGCACUAGCAAAGGCUGUGCCUUUGUGAAGUACCAGAACAACGCAGAGGCUGCGGCAGCCAUCAGCACUCUGCAUGGGAGCCGCACUCUACCGGGUGCCUCCUCCAGCCUGGUGGUGAAGUUCGCCGACUCUGAGAAAGAGCGAGGGAUAAGGCGCAUGCAGCAGGUGGCGUCCCAGCUGGGGGUCAUCAGUCCCAUGACCUUACACCUCGGGGCUUACAAUGCCUACACACAGGUACUGGUGCAGCAGCAGGCUCUGGUGGCCCAGUCYGCGUAUUUGUCUCCUGUAUCCACCAUCACCAUGCAGCAGUUGGSUGCCCUCAACCCCAGCAGCCUCAUUGCCACGCCCAUCGCAUCACUCACUACCUCAGGUACCAGCACUCCGCCCACCAUGGCAGCCACACCGGUGCCUGCUCUGCCUCCACCACUCAGCUACCCUCCAGUGCCAGCUCCACCCAAUGGACAGUCAGCAUCUGAAACCCUGUACACCAAUGGAGUUCAUUCUUACCAAGCUCAGAGUCCAAUUUUGGAUCCUAUUCAGCAAGCGUACGCAGGGAUGCAGCACUACACAGGUGGGACAGUAGUGAGUCCGUUUGAGUCCUUAAAAUUUCCCCGAGGAAAUUUUAGGUUUGAAAUGCCCUCUCAACAGUCCUUAAUGUUUCCGUAUGCGAACACACCCACAGCAACCUACCCUGCUGCCUAUGGAAUGGUGGGGCAGCCAUUCCCACACCAACACACAAUGCUUGCACAGCAACAUCAGCAGCCUCAGCAACUGCAGCAACGAGAAGGGCCCGAGGGGUGUAACAUCUUCAUCUAUCACCUGCCUCAGGAGUUCUCUGACUCAGAGAUGCUGCAAAUGUUCGUCCCCUUCGGCAACGUCAUCUCAGCAAAYGUCUUUGUUGACCGCGCCACCAAUCAGAGCAAGUGCUUUGGUUUUGUGAGUUUUGACAACCCGUCCAGUGCUCAGACCGCAAUUCAGGCCAUGAAUGGUUUCCAGAUUGGCAUGAAGAGACUCAAGGUGCAGCUUAAGAGGCCCAAGGAUGCCAACCGACCCUACUAAAUGAGUCAAGACUGUCCUGUCCAUACAUAUAUCGUGGAGACUACGUGGCUAUGGUUGCCUAGCAACCGCUAAACCCCCCUUCCUCUCACAGCGUUGGAAGAUAUGAGUUCUAUCAAGAAACUACUUCCAGCAUUUUGGUUUCGCCCCAAACCGUAUAGCAAAGGAGCAACAACACUUCUCGAAAAAUAAGAUAAAAUAUACAGUGGGCUCCAAAAUUACUGGCACCCCUGACUGGCAAUGCACAAACAA